GAUCUGGAUCGCGAGCUGUAACUACUCAUACGAAAAGAAAACAUAGACAUAAAUACUCAAAUCCCUAAAUCGGAUGAUAAUAUGCGAUACAUCAAGUUUAAAACGAAGAAUCUUCACAAUCAAACAACUAAACAAGCUGGAUUUAUAGUAAUGAAUGAGAGAGAGAGAGAGAACAAAAAAAACCUGAAGAGAGAAAAGACCAAAG